CCUGUCGGUGUAACUGGCAUGUCGCGGCAUGUCCUGUCGGUGGUGAACGGGAUCCCCGGUGCUGUUUAGGCUUAAUUGCCGAAGCAUGUACCGUGUGUGUUUCCGUUUGCCGAUCUCUCCUACUUCGGUGCUCUUAAACGAGUGUCGAAGUAGGCCGACACUAUCACUUUGAACAAAUUAGAGUGCUUAAAGCAGGCUGAAAUAUCUGCCUGAAUAGUGGUGCAUGGAAUGAUAAAAUAGGACCUCGGUUCUAUUUUGUUGGUUUUAGGAAUAUGAGGUAAUGAUCAAUGUGGACUGGCGGGGGCAUUCGUAUUGCGACGUUAGAGGUGAAAUUCUUGGAUCGUCGCAAGACGCACUAGAGCGAAAGCAUUUGCCAAGUAUGUCUUAAUUGAUCAAGAACGAAAGUUAGAGGUUCGAAGGCGAUCAGAUACCGCCCUAGUUCUAACCAUAAACGAUGCCAGCCAGCAAA
rnacentral:rRNA from 1 species